rnacentral:misc_RNA from 1 species
AAGUCGUAACAAGGUUUCCGUAGGUGAACCUGCGGAAGGAUCAUUACCAUGUUUAAUCCAAAACACUCAACCCAUGUGCACGAUGAAUUGUCUGUCAUUGGGGUGGAAGAGAUGAAGGCUGCUCAAAACAGUCCCAAUUAAAUUCACCCCACAUGUGUAAACAUCCUUUAAUUCUUUAUUGGCAUCUACUUGUCUUAAAAUAAUAAUAGACAACUUUUAACGGUGGAUCUCUUGGCUCGUG